ACCACAGAGCAGCAGGGAGUUGCUUAGACAUGUCCUAGAAGAUCCAAAAGGAGAUCAGCGCGUAAUAAUGGUAACAACUUCAAAUACAACUUCUUCAUUGGCACCUUUCAGGCCUUAGAUGGAACAAGUUAUCCAAAUAUAAAAGUGACCAAAAUUCCGUCCUCAUGCAUUGCGGAAAGUGUUGUGCCAGAGAGCAGCAGACGCAACAAGACAGGAAAGUUACAUAACAGCGGAAGGAAUUGAGACAGAUGGAACUCACAGGCAAAAUGGGUUUCAAGUUUUUCAGUCGACAGAGCAUUUCAAAUGAGACUAACACGAGACAAAGACGAUUAAGUUGGCAAACAAGAGACGGAAAUAGCCCCCAAAGUGAAACAAUUUCAUCAGCUGACUGCCAUGCUGUCAUCGGUGAUUCUGAACGGAGACUUUGUAGAGAAAUUGGUGGGGCUCUGCGCGAUAUUGGUGACAAAUUAAACGACAGCACACUUAAACUUCAUUCCAAAACCUAGUAAUGUUCUUCGGUGCCCAUCUGAUGAAAAGAGUGCAGGGAUUUGCAGGGCGCCUUUGCAACAGCAAGCUUAUCGAGCUUGUUUGGCCAAUUCGGACUGAACUUAUAGACUUGUAAAUGUUUAACAGAUGCUUUGCGUACAUUUUCAAUCAUUAUUUACAAUACAUGUGCAGUUCAGUUAUGAACAUAUAUUUAUUCUGUGUAAUACACUCAAGGCAAGGAGAUUCUUACCAGGAGCUUUAUCUUUGAAAUUUGCCGUAUAUAUAGCAAAUAUGCUGAUGAAACAAUAAAAGACACA